ACGGUAUCUUUGCUGAACGAACAGCGUUAGAGUGCGGGGGACCCAUUUUUGGGAUUAUCCCUUGGGGUGAAGCAGAAAAAGUCGCAAGGCUUACUGCCAGGAGACUCCAUCCUGAACCCGACAGCUUACCUCGUAGGCCAUAGGAGAAUAAGA
rnacentral:sRNA from 2 species